rnacentral:misc_RNA from 1 species
AAGUCGUAACAAGGUUUCCGUAGGUGAACCUGCGGAAGGAUCAUUAUUGAAUUUUAAUGAAGAGUUUGGUUGUAGCUGGUCUAUUUAUUUAGGCAUGUGCACACCUUUCUCUUUCAUCCCACACACACCUGUGAACUUGUGAGACAGUUGGGGAAUUUAUUUGUUAUUUUUUCGUAAUAAAAUUAUAAUAAGUCAUUGAACCCUUCUGUCUACUCAACUCAUAUAAACUCAAUUUAUUUUAAAUGAAUGUAAUGGAUGUAACACAUCUCAUACUAAGUUUCAACAACGGAUCUCUUGGCUCUC